AGAGUUUGAUCCUGGCUCAGGAUGAACGCUAGCGGCAGGCCUAAUACAUGCAAGUCGAGGGGUAACAGGAAGUGCUUGCACUUCGCUGACGACCGGCGCACGGGUGAGUAUCGCGUAUACAAUCUGCCUCAUACUAGGGAAUAGCCCGAAGAAAUUUGGAUUAAUGCCCUAUAGUAUCUUUUUAAGGCAUCUUAUUAAGAUUAAAGGUUACGGUAUGAGAUGAGUAUGCGUUCUAUUAGCUAGUAGGUGUGGUAACGGCACACCUAGGCUACGAUAGAUAGGGGCCCUGAGAGGGGGAUCCCCCACACUGGUACUGAGACACGGACCAGACUCCUACGGGAGGCAGCAGUAAGGAAUAUUGGUCAAUGGACGAAAGUCUGAACCAGCCAUGCCGCGUGCAGGAUGACUGCCCUAUGGGUUGUAAACUGCUUUUAUAUAGGAAGAAAAACUUUCUCGUGAGAAAGCUUGACGGUACUAUAAGAAUAAGGAUCGGCUAACUCCGUGCCAGCAGCCGCGGUAAUACGGAGGAUCCAAGCGUUAUCCGGAAUCAUUGGGUUUAAAGGGUCCGUAGGUGGACAAAUAAGUCAGAGGUGAAAUCCUGCAGCUCAACUGUAGAACUGCCUUUGAUACUGUUUGUCUUGAGUUAUUAUGAAGUGGUUAGAAUGUGUAGUGUAGCGGUGAAAUGCAUAGAUAUUACACAGAAUACCGAUUGCGAAGGCAGAUCACUAAUAAUCAACUGACACUGAUGGACGAAAGCGUGGGUAGCGAACAGGAUUAGAUACCCUGGUAGUCCACGCCGUAAACGAUGGUCACUAGCUGUUUGGACUUCGGUCUGAGUGGCUAAGCGAAAGUGAUAAGUGACC
rnacentral:rRNA from 1 species